GACGAACGCUGGCGGCGUGCUUAACACAUGCCAGUCGAACGGAAAGGCCCUGCUUGCAGGGUACUCGAGUGGCGAACGGGUGAGUAACACGUGGGUGAUCUGCCCUGCACUUCGGGAUAAGCCUGGUAAACUGGGUCUAAUACCGGAUAGGAGCCAUUUUUAGUGUGAUGGUUGGAAAGUUUUUUCGGUGUAGGAUGAGCUCGCGGCCUAUCAGCUUGUUGGUGGGGUAAUGGCCUACCAAGGCGGCGACGGGUAGCCGGCCUGAGAGGGUGGACGGCCACAUUGGGACUGAGAUACGGCCCAGACUCCUACGGGAGGCAGCAGUGGGGAAUAUUGAACAAUGGGCGCAAGCCUGAUGCAGCGACGCCGCGUGGGGGAUGACGGCCUUCGGGUUGUAAACUCCUUUCGCUAGGGACGAAGCUUUUUGUGACGGUACCUAGAUAAGAAGCACCGGCUAACUACGUG
rnacentral:rRNA from 1 species